CAGCUUUCAUUCAGUAAUACAGCAUUCAAUCCUGGAUUUUCUUCUGGAAAUGCAGCUCCUUCUAGGUAGUAUUUACUAUUGUGUGCCUUUCCCUUAAUACAGAGUAAAAAAAAACAAUAAUAAAAUUACUAAACCCAGUUUCUUUUCAUGCGAGGUACUAGUUUAGCUCCUUCCCAAACUGGGCUUUGAAUCCCAGGCAAGCCCAGAAUUUUUCAUGACUGCCAGACAAAGAAAGGAGCAAAUGCAAAAACAAAAGCAUCAAACUCACUUUUACCUGAACCCUUUUGAAGUUAUAAAAAUGUAAUGAAUUAUUUAAUAGUAGACAUUUUUAUAAUUUGAUAUCUUGCAAAGUUGUCAGUUUAAAAAUUGUUAUUCUUUUUUUUUAAAGCUCCAUGAGUUAAAUGACAAAUGCUGAAUUUAAAAUAUCUAUUCAUCAUACUGUAGUUUAAGGGAUGCAGAGGCUAAGGUCUGUGAUGCUUACAGUGUAAGUCAGUGUUAAUAUAAUUAUUUUCACAUGACCUCUCACUGGAGGGAGCUGCAAUCCCAUUUAACUUUAAACGUGUCUGUUCAGAGACAGUAGGCAGCACAAGGAUGGAUUUGUUUACAGCUUUGAAUUUGCAUCCUGCCAGCGUUCAUCAUAAAAGGUAGUGAUUUAAGAGCUCAGUGCUGGGUGUAUCGCACACAUCUCGCUGCUGUCUGUCUGGAUUAUUUCCCAACUCGAGCUUUGAUGGUGGCAGCUCCCAAUUCACAGGAAAAAGGAAAUGAAGUUAGGCAGGCUGAAAGUUUAUUGUGUUUGUGCAGAGGCAAAGAGGGAAAUUCAAGGACUCAGCAAAAGAAUUAAAGACAACAAAAACAAAGACGACCGUUUUUAUGUUUUGGUAUUGAAGUAAAAGCUUCUGCAAUAAAGUUUUUCUUUGUGUGGGCGAGAAGCGACAGUGCAGCAGGUGGAAAGAUCAGAUUCAAAGCAACAACAUGCUGUGUAUACACUGCCAUUAACUAGGUAAUGAAACUAUAAUCUCCUUUGGGGUUUGGAUCUAAGCUUCAGCCAUUUGUAAAAUUAAAUGGUUCAUGACUUUCAUCAUGUUGAUGUCUAAUCAGUUCAGGUGCUAGUAAGUGACAUAAUCAAUGUAAAACAAACAUGUUAUGUCAAAAUACAUGAAUAAUAUACACAGAGGCAGUUGUGUUUGCUGAUGUGGAAUACCCAGAAUUCCUGCUCAAUGGUUUGUAAUUGUGUUAUCGUUUGCUUUAAUUAUGGACUGUAUGGAGGAAAUGUUUGCUGGCAGAGUUCUCUCUCGACCCAUUACUUCAGUACUUAGUUUCAUUAAUGGAAUAACAGAGUCUAAUGCACCUAAAUGCCUAAGUGAAAUGUUCAUUCUCUGCUCAUGAAAAAACAGCUGUAUUAUCUUAAAAAGAAAAUGUAUUUGUAUUUUCCUUCACUGUAUUUUAAGUUCCACUCUGAUCAUCUUUUGAUCUUUUGUAAAAGUGUUCUCAGUGGGCUUUUGAUUAUGAAUAUGCCCUUUUUAGGCAAAAUCCCAUAUCCUGUGUUGUUUUUUAGGACAAUAAUUUCUGCAGGGCUGCAGGAAUUCAUUGGAAUUUUGCCUCUGAGUUGGAGGCGGUACGUUGGCAUGGAGUGAGCCUUUCUUCAUUUUUCCAUUGUCCAUCUGUAUGGACGCUCUCCUGCUAGCUUACUGCCCCUCACACUGCCAACCAAAUAUUACCAGUGCGACAAAAUUGGUGAUUAGUUCAGGAGCAAUCCAGUUUUGAGCCAGAUGCCAGGUCUGAUGAGAAAAAUGAAGGCGUACAUGGAUCUAGUCAUCUAUAGGUGGAUGCAUCAGAAUGGAACAAAGCACGGAGAUUGCCCCGCCUAUUGCAUUUUCUAUGCAACAAAUACGAUCUUUUUAAACGAAAUUCUAAUUUGCCACAAUUUAAAUAAAGAAAUAUUCAGAAUUGCCGUUUUAAUCUUACGUUUUUUUUAUAUGUUUUCCAUUAUAAGAAAAACGCUACAAGAACAAGUUCAAAACACGAAAAACACAGUGAGUCAUUUGUCUAAGAGUUUUUCUUUGACAAGCUGGACUGCUACCUUAAAACGGCCUAAAACAUACUGUACUUGUGUUUCUCCUGGUAAGUUUUGGUCAAGAGUUAUCCUGGGUUUUUGUUUCUCCCAUAGUCACACUGAUCCUUGCAUUUAUCAUCAAGAGGAUCCUCUUUUCUUGCAACUCUUUUUCCCUUUGUAACCCACUUAGAAAAAGCAUUUAAUUUUCCUACUGGCAAUUAAAGGGUUAAUUUUUCAUUUGCGGUAGAGAUGGUUUGGCCCUCCAGGCAUACCAUGCAGGGCUCUGUGGAGGGUGCCAUCUUGUGUCUGCGUGUUUUUUUUUCUUGCAAGCACGAGGCAGAGAAGGAGCUGCGUGACCAGCAGAGAAAGAUCGGCAGUGUUAUAGACGGAAGCAGAAAAAUAAUUUAAAGAGUUAAAAUAAGCUACUUUUUGUUUUUUGAGAUCGGUUACGUUGUGUGCCGAAAGAACAUUUUCAGAGCGGCUACGUUGUGAACGCGUGUCGUGUAUAAGAAUUCUUGGAAACUCCGAAUUGUUUUUGAUGACCCUCAAUUGUAGCUCGGACUACAAUUCUUCGUUGGAAGUGGAUGGCGAGCCAGGCGUAGAACGAGAGUAUCCUGUUGAAGAUUGACGUACAGUGUGGCCAGCUGUUACUGAUUCCCAUCAACAGGAUUGAACCCAAUCUGACAGGACAAGAGAUAAGGAACAUUCCCAUACACAUUAAUUUAUCCUACCCGGGUAGAGAACAAAUUGAGUGCACAAACGAGACAAAGGACAAUUUAUUUUAUACUAUUUUUUUAUAAAGCUGAUUUAUUUUGUAAAAGAAUUCAGUUUUAGGAACAAAUUAUUGUUUAUGUUGUUUUUCUAUUUUGUGUUGUGAAAGGUAAUGUAAUAAACCUGCCCUCUGUUAUUUAAA